CAAUAGCGUAUAUUUAAGUUGUUGCAGUUAAAAAGCUCGUAGUUGAAUGUUGGUGUCGAACGAGCGGUCAGCUUCGGCUGUACUGCUCUCUCGACUCCUUCCUUCUGUGGACUACGUCGCACUUUACUGUGUGGCGCUAGGACGCAGAUCGUUUACUGUGAAAAAAUUAGAGUGUUCAAAGCAGGCCGUACGCUUGAAUACAUUAGCAUGGAAUAAUGGAAUAGGACGUCGGGCCUAUUUUGUUGGUUCUAGGACCGUCGUAAUGAUUAAUAGGGACAGUUGGGGCCGUUUAUAUUCCGUAGUCAGAGGUGAAAUUCUUGGAUUUACGGAAGAUAAACUACUGCGAAAGCAUUCGGCAAGGAUGUUUUCGUUAA
rnacentral:rRNA from 1 species